GAAUCUUAAACCCUCAGAUUCAAAACAAUCAAUUAAAUACAAAACUGAAAACAUACACAAUACUUCAUAGAAAUAUAUUGUUGAACAAAAAGAUUGCAGUAAAUAGCAUAUUUUUGGCAACAUGGCGACAUCCUGUCGAAGGACCUUAUAUUGGUUCGGCAAUGAUUCGAUCAUCAGGCCAUUUUUUAACUUUUUCAACAUUGCGAAGUUGCAUGGCAGCCAAGCCAUGCUGCAUCGACCUGAACAAACGUUAAUCAGAAUGUGCCACGUCUGACGAGUACGCUGGGCGUGACAGAACUUCCCAUUGGAACUACAACAUCAAUUCGUGUCACCACUUUCAAACCGUUGAACCCAAACCCGGCAAUUGGGAUAUGAUGAAGCGGUGUCACCA